rnacentral:lncRNA from 1 species
GGGAUUCAAUGGGCUGGGCCAGAUCCCUCCUGAAAAAUUGGAGAUAUGGGACCCAGAUCCUCCAGUAUGGUAAGGCACAACUUUACCGUUUGGCUCUCUGGCCAACCUAUUAUUCUGUCAGUCCACAGGUCCCAUAGUUUGUUCUGUGAGAUGUUUGUUAUCCAAACAUGUGUUGAUUAUCCAAACAUAAAAAUCUUUUGCAAAAAUGUUUGUUAUCCAAACUGUUUGUUAACUAAUCAUCCACUGUAUUAAAUGAUUGUAACAAUGAAUACGACACUAUUGCAAUGAUAAUUGCAAUAGUGUCGUAGUAUUUGUAGUAUUUGUAGUUGUCGUUAGUAUUUGUAGUAAAGUCAUUAUUAUAUGAAUUAUACAACUGCAUCAUAUUAUUAUCUAAUUUAUUUAUAA